GAAGUUUUUGUUGGUAAGAUUGAAGUUAUGAAAUUGUAGUCGUUUCCAAAACAAUUUAAGUAUGGGUUGUGAUGUUUUCAAGGUGUUCAAACGUUACGGAUGGGUUAAUUGACUAAUUUGAUAAAUUAUUCUUCAAGGUGUGAAAGGUAACUUUGGAUCACUUAAAUUCACAACCAAUUUGUGAAUUGUUGAGGGUUCAGUUCGCCAGUAUUUCGGAUUUGAUUCAUUGGAUUUAGUAGAUUGAAGAAUUUGCAUAGAAAUCGAGGCAAAGGAAAUAAAGGUGGCAAACCGGCGAGGGGCAGGAAGGAAGCGUUGAUGCCAUAGGAAACG